UCCUGCUGUUGUGCAAAAACAUUUCACAGUCGACCACAAAGUUCCUCACUCUCUCUCUCUCUCUCUCUCUCUCUCUUGUCCUGUGUCUGUGAAACAACAGUUAUGAUAAAUGAAAUCUCCCUCACUACCUCACAGCGAGCGACCUUCAUUAACCUCCUCCUGAUUGAUGUGUGUGUGUGCGUGUGUGUGUGUGUAGAGAGAGAGAAACUGGUAGACUUUCGGCAAACAUCAGCUGACAGAAGAUAAAUCAGACACCCACUCCAUCUUCAUCCUCCUCUUCAUCACCGCGGGGCCUCGCCUGCUCUGGCAUUUGGUUGCCAGGGAACACGGACCUAAAAAUCACCCACAAGGCUCUCUCUCCUCAGAGGACGUUUGAUAUCUUUAGAUGGUUUUAAGUCUUAUAAAGAAGCUAACACUCAGGAUUACUGUCGUCUGUUAACGUCUUCAUGAGUUGAGUGAAGAUUACGAGACAUGAGCUCGGCUUUAGCUUCUGUUUUAUGAGUUCAUUUCUGGUUUUAAAAUGUCUGAUUCAACGAUAAACUCAGAGGCAGAGAUCAGUACGGGGGAGGAAAUGAAGUCUAGAUGUGGAGUUCUGAUGUUACCGGGCAGAUUUGGAGGUCCAAUGUAAAUCCCUCUCUGUUUCUUUAAGCCUUUAACUUCCUUCAUGGAGCUUUAGGAUGUGAAAGUUUUGACCCUGUUGGAGACAUAUCCAUCCAUCCAUCCAUCAUCUACACCGCUUUUCCUGCUCGGGGUCGCCGAGGGGCUGGAGCUGAUCCCUGCUGUCAUUGGGCGAGAGGCGGAGUCACUCCCUGGACUGUUCACCAGCCAAUCACAGGGCUGACAUAUAGAGACAGACAACCAGACACACUCACAUUCACACCUACAGACAAUUUAGAGUCACCAGUUAAUCUAACGAGCAUGUCUUUGGACUGUGGGAGGAAGCCGGAGUACCUGGAGAGAACCCACACAUGCACGAGGAGAACAACAAAAGUCAAAUAAAAACAGACACAGUGAGAGUCGGGCAGAAACGUCAAAGCACUCUUCGAUGCUAAGUAUCUCCACACACACACACACACACACACACACACACACACACACACACACACACACACACACACACACACACACACACACACACACACACACACACACACACACACACACACACACACACACACACA